GGGAAGAGAUCCCACUUGGUCAAUAUCAAUAUCAGAGUUUAAGAGAAUUUGGGAUUUUAAGAGAGAGAAGAACGGACAAAUAAAUAGUGACCUAGACCCUUGGGACGAAGCAUACUUCACAUGGUUGAUGAAGUCUUCUGCUUACAGCUUGGACUCCUUGGUUGUAGCAUCAUAUUUUCCUUUGACACAAUGUAUAGAGGGUUUGAAGGUGCUGGUUGAGUUAUUAUUUGGUGUGACAUUUCGUAGUAUCCCUCUUGCACCUAGGGAGUCAUGGCAUACAGAUGUGCUUAAAAUGUCCCUUUAUCACCCCGAAGAGGUACAUAUAAGACUUCCUUUUAAAAGUUAUAGUGCUUUAAUCAUUUAAGAAACUACUGAGGUAUAAAUGAAAAGAUUAUAAGUAAAAUGUUUGUGGCUGGUAUAUAGGAAAGGAGAUUUGUUAAUUUAGUGAACCAAAUUAAUUCCUUGAAGAUUUGUUGAGAUAUUUGGAAUUAAUUUUGUAUGAAAUGAAUUUAGUGCAUAAGUUUCUACCUUCAAACUUAGUGUUGAGCAUGGUAUGAUGGAGCUUUCUACCACCAUGAUAGUGGAAUGGCUCAGUUUAUUUCCCAUAGGCCUUCAUAGACAAUCUAGUUCACAUUUUGGCUUGCAAAUCCAUGUGAAAUGUCCAGUUAGAAUUAAUAGUCUACAAGAAUUUUCCAAAAAAGUAAACUGCUGUUAAUUGUGGAUGAUGUUUAAAAUCAAGUCAUUUGCUUCUUUUUUUUUC